GACGAACGCUGGCGGCGUGCUUAACACAUGCAAGUCGAACGGAAAGGCCCUGCUUGCAGGGUCCUCGAGUGGCGAACGGGUGAGUAACACGUGGGUGCUCUGCCCUCCACUUCGGGAUAAGCCUGGACAACUGGGUCUAAUACCUGAUAGGAGCUACUUUUUGUGUGUUGGUUGGAAAGUUUUUUCGGUGUUGGAUGAGCUCGCGGCCUAUCAGCUUGUUGGUGGGGUAAUGGCCUACCAAGGCGGCGACGGGUAGCCGGCCUGCGAGGGUGGACGGCCACAUUGGGACUGAGGUAAGGCCGAGACGCCGACGGGAGGAAGAAGGGGGGAAGAUUGCACAAUGGGCGCAAGGCUGAUGCAGCGACGCCGCGUGGGGGAUGACGGCCUUCGGGUUGUAAACAACUUGCGCGAGGGAAGAAGCUUUUUGUGACGGUACCUAGAGAAGAAGCACCGGCUAACUACGUG
rnacentral:rRNA from 1 species